rnacentral:rRNA from 1 species
CCUACGGGAGGCAGCAGUGAGGAAUAUUGGUCAAUGGACGAGAGUCUGAACCAGCCAAGUAGCGUGAAGGAUGACUGCCCUAUGGGUUGUAAACUUCUUUUAUAUGGGAAUAAAACGUUCCACGUGUGGGAUUUUGUAUGUACCAUAUGAAUAAGGAUAGGCUAACUCCGUGCCAGCAGCCGCGGUAAUACGGAGGAUCCGAGCGUUAUCCGGAUUUAUUGGGUUUAAAGGGAGCGGAGGUGGAUUGUCAAGUCAGUUGUGAAAGUUUGCGGCUCAACCGUAAAAUUGCAGUUGAUACUGGCAGUCUUGAGUACAGUAGAGGUGGGCGGAAUUCGUGGUGUAGCGGUGAAAUGCGUAGAUAUCACGAAGAACUCCGAUUGCGAAGGCAGUUCACUGGACUGCAACUGACACUGAGGCUCGAAAGUGUGGGGAUCAAACAGGAUUAGAUACCCUAGUAGUC